rnacentral:rRNA from 1 species
GACGAACGCUAGCGGCGUGCUUAACACAUGCAAGUCGAACGGAAAGGCCUGUCCUUCCUUGUGUUGGACGGGUACUCGAGUGGCGAACGGGUGAGUAACACGUGAGUGAUCUGCCCCCAACUUGGGUAUAAGCCUGGGAAACUGGGUCUAAUUCCCGAUAGGACUGCAGGGUGGUGCCUGUGGUGGAAAACGAUUUUCUAGUGGUUGGGGAUGAGCUCGCGGCCUAUCAGCUUGUUGGUGGGGUAAUGGCCUACCAAGGCGGCGACGGGUAGCCGGCCUGAGAGGGUGGACGGCCACAUUGGGACUGAGAUACGGCCCAGACUCCUACGGGAGGCAGCAGUGGGGAAUAUUGCACAAUGGGCGGAAGCCUGAUGCAGCGACGCCGCGUGGGGGAUGACGGCCUUCGGGUUGUAAACUCCUUUCGACCGCGAGGAAGCCGCCUGGUUGGAAGGGUGGUGACGGUAGUGGUAGAAGAAGCACCGGCUAACUACGUG